AAAUCCUUCCUGUCUGAGAUGCGUCAGACUCCUAUGGUAGACACUUCUGAUGAUGAUGAGGACGAACAAAUACCCGAAGCGCUACUUAGGAGGUUUGAACGACUACAGUUGCAGCACGAUUUGCCACACCGGAGAGUGUAUUGGAGAUGUGGUUGCUCUACUACCCCGCGCGAUAAGGGCAAGAGACAUGUUCAUGGGUGAUUAUAA
rnacentral:lncRNA from 1 species